AACAUAGCUUAACCAAAAGCACCCCGCUUACACCGGGAGAAUACCUGUGGAACCCAGGUUGUCUCGA
rnacentral:tRNA from 1 species